rnacentral:rRNA from 1 species
GCCUACGGGAGGCAGCAGUAGGGAAUCUUCCGCAAUGGACGAAAGUCUGACGGAGCAACGCCGCGUGAGUGAUGAAGGCUUUCGGGUCGUAAAACUCUGUUGUUAGGGAAGAACAAGUACAAGAGUAACUGCUUGUACCUUGACGGUACCUAACCAGAAAGCCACGGCUAACUACGUGCCAGCAGCCGCGGUAAUACGUAGGUGGCAAGCGUUAUCCGGAAUUAUUGGGCGUAAAGCGCGCGCAGGCGGUUCCUUAAGUCUGAUGUGAAAGCCCACGGCUCAACCGUGGAGGGUCAUUGGAAACUGGGGAACUUGAGUGCAGAAGAGAAAAGCGGAAUUCCACGUGUAGCGGUGAAAUGCGUAGAGAUGUGGAGGAACACCAGUGGCGAAGGCGGCUUUUUGGUCUGUAACUGACGCUGAGGCGCGAAAGCGUGGGGAGCAAACAGGAUUAGAUACCCUGGUAGUCCACGCCGUAAACGAUGAGUGCUAAGUGUUAGAGGGUUUCCGCCCUUUAGUGCUGCAGCUAACGCA